GAGCACUGAGAUCUGCAGUGACACGUGCACCCUCACCCAUGGUUGAAGAGCUGCUGCCUGGAAUGAGGCUGUUCCCCUGCUCUGCAAAUAUGGACCUCUACAAGUUAUCUACACUGUAUGUCACAGACAUAGGGACGGAACUAGAAGAACAAUUUUCAUCCUGAACUUGGACUCAUCAAAAUGGUGCAGAUGGCAACUUGUAUUUUGCAGUGGCAAAAACCUUUGCCCCCAGAAAAACGUUUGGACCUCCACAUGGGCAGAGCUGGGGAGUCAUCACGUCUGAUGAGGAUUCAUUAUGAAGUUGACAAUUUGCCCCUUCCCUUCAAAAAAUAACCAACCCCUCAGCAGAGCUUCGUUCCUUUCAGCCCACACUGACUCUCAUCCAAAACCUUCCCUGCUGCUCUUAAGCAACCAAAAAUACCCGAACUGCAGGAUUAAACCCAUCCUUCUCCCCUCCAAAUAAACAAACAAACAAAUAACAAAAGAAGGAAGAAAUUAUCUCUACAUUAGGAAGAUGAAUAUAAAGAGCUUAUUUGUUAACCAUUAGCAGAAAAAAAUCCCAACUGCUCUCACCACUCUGAAGUCAGAAGGAAAGAAAAGGAGAGAUAAAGGGAGGGUGUGGACGUUGGGAAAGGAGGCAAGAGCAGGGAAUACAAAGUUUCACUGCCAGGAGUGUGUGUCUGCUUGGGGGGAGUGCUAUUGGAGCCCUGUCUGGGCUGGCUCACUGGAUGAUUCAAUAUUUCCCCCUCCAGUAAUUCCUGAAAUGGGUCCCCUGGG